AUUUUUUAAGAUUUUUAGUGAUUUUUUAAGGUUUUUAGUAACUUUUUACGUUUUUAGUAACUUUUUACGUUUUUAGUGAUUUUUUUAGGUUUUUAGUAACUUUUUACGUUUUUAGUAACUUUUUACGUUUUUAGUGAUUUUUUAAGGUUUUUAGUAACUUUUUA